AGUAACACGUGGGUAACCUGCCCUAAAGUCUGGGAUACCACUUGGAAACAGGUGCUAAUACCGGAUAACAACAAUAGCUGCAUGGCUAUUGCUUAAAAGGCGGCGUAAGCUGUCGCUAAAGGAUGGACCCGCGGUGCAUUAGCUAGUUGGUAAGGUAACGGCUUACCAAGGCGACGAUGCAUAGCCGAGUUGAGAGACUGAUCGGCCACAUUGGGACUGAGACACGGCCCAAACUCCUACGGAAGGCAGCAG
rnacentral:rRNA from 1 species